GACGAACGCUGGCGGCGUGCCUAACACAUGCAAGUCGAACGGAACUGUUUUGAAAGAUUUCUUCGGAAUGAAUUUGAUUUAGUUUAGUGGCGGACGGGUGAGUAACGCGUGAGUAACCUGCCUUCAAGAGGGGAAUAACAUUCUGAAAAGAAUGCUAAUACCGCAUGACAUAUCGGAACCACAUGGUUUUGAUAUCAAAGAUUUUAUCGCUUGAAGAUGGACUCGCGUCCGAUUAGUUAGUUGGUGAGGUAACGGCUCACCAAGACCGCGAUCGGUAGCCGGACUGAGAGGUUGAACGGCCACAUUGGGACUGAGACACGGGCCAGAAUCCUACGGGAGGCAGCAGUGGGGGAGAUUGCGCAAUGGGGGCAACCCUGACGCAGCAACGCCGCGUGAAGGAUGAAGGUUUUCGGAUUGUAAACUUCUUUUAUUAAGGACGAAAAAUGACGGUACUUAAUGAAUAAGCUCCGGCUAACUACGUG
rnacentral:rRNA from 1 species